GUGGGGAAUAUUGGACAAUGGGCGAAAGCCUGAUCCAGCCAUGCCGCGUGUGUGAAGAAGGUCUUCGGAUUGUAAAGCACUUUAAGUUGGGAGGAAGGGUUGUAGAUUAAUACUCUGCAAUUUUGACGUUACCGACAGAAUAAGCACCGGCUAACUUCGUGCCAGCAGCCGCGGUAAUACGAAGGGUGCAAGCGUUAAUCGGAAUUACUGGGCGUAAAGCGCGCGUAGGUGGUUCGUUAAGUUGGAUGUGAAAGCCCCGGGCUCAACCUGGGAACUGCAUCCAAAACUGGCGAGCUAGAGUACGGUAGAGGGUGGUGGAAUUUCCUGUGUAGCGGUGAAAUGCGUAGAUAUAGGAAGGAACACCAGUGGCGAAGGCGACCACCUGGACUGAUACUGACACUGAGGUGCGAAAGCGUGGGGAGCAAACAGGAUUAGAAACCCCUGUAGUCC
rnacentral:rRNA from 1 species